rnacentral:lncRNA from 1 species
GAUGACUUAGAGUUUAAACUGUCAACUCUUAACAGUACAUCCAUUAUGUGUCUCAACCUAAUAAAUCCUGUGACUCCUCACAAGAAUUGCCCCGGCCAAGGUCACACUAAAUUGAAACACAAAGCAUUCUCUCUAACCCUUUGGAGUAGUCAAUUCUAUCUUAACUUAUGCACCAACUUCACAAGUACUUGACUAUACCUAAAAACCUUCUGAUCCUGAAUUAAAAAUUUAAGUAGUCCGACACUAAAGCACAAUGAGUUGCUUGUAAAUCACCAUGGUGAUC